ACUCCAUCAGACCCCAAGAAAGAAAUCAAGAAUGGCAACUGAAAUUUGUCAUGCUUGAAGCAGCACCUCCUGGAAGACCUAUGAGUUUUGCUCAAGAAACUUUUGGGAACCAAUAAAACUAAACUAUAGUGAUGAAUAUAUAUACAUAUUUUUUGAGCGGGAUAACAUUGCCAGGAAACUUGAAUGUUACUCUUCAAGUAUGGGAUGUAGGGGGUGCGUACAAUACGCGGCAAGAAGGUGGAUGCAUUUAUCUAUGGACCACAGAGAAUCCUCUUGUUACAAAUUAGCAAAGCUUGGAGAAUUUAAAAGAUUGGUAAAGAUGGGUACAUUGUACUGAAGAAAGUGAGCGAAGAGUCAGAAGCUUUGCUACUGGUUGCCUUGGUGAGCAAUAAAAUUUAUUUGGAGCACAUGGAAACAGUAAAACCUGAAAAACACUUAUGGUUUUGCCAGGAAAAUGGUUUUAGUAGCCACUUUAUCUCAGCCAAGACAGGAGACUGUCUUCCUGUAUUUUCAGAAAGUUGCUAAUGAAAUCCUUGGACUCAAAUUAAACAAAUCAGAAAAAUAGAAGAGUCAGAGAGUGGUGAAGGCAGGUAUUGGAAACUACAACCAGGCCCCCAGAACGGUGACUUCCUACAAGCUCUAUGUCUGCAUCCGUGAGGGCAUUU
rnacentral:lncRNA from 1 species